AUACGGAGGACGCGAGCGUUAUCCGGAUUCAUUGGGUUUAAAGGGUGCGCAGGCGGCCGUGCAAGUCAGCGGUGAAAGCCCGGGGCUCAACCCCGGAAGUGCCGUUGAUACUGCGUGGCUGGAAUGCGGUCGAGGCGGGCGGAACGGGGCGUGUAGCGGGGAAAUGCGUAGAUAUGCCACAGAACGCCGAUGGCGGAGGCGGCUCGCCAGGCCUGCAUUGACGCUCGGGCACGAAAGCGGGGGGAUCGAACAGGAUUAGAUACCCUGGUAGUCCACGCCGUAAACGAUGGGCGCUCGUCGUCGGCGACAGACAGUCGGCGGCCAAGCGAAAGCGAUAAGCGCCCCACCUGGGGAGUACGCCGGCAACGGUGAAACUCAAAGGAAUUGGCGGGG
rnacentral:rRNA from 1 species